rnacentral:rRNA from 1 species
UACGUAGGGUGCAAGCGUUGUCCGGAAUUAUUGGGCGUAAAGAGCUCGUAGGUGGCCUGUCGCGUCGGCUGUGAAAACUCGGGGCUCAACUCCGAGCUUGCAGUCGAUACGGGCAGGCUAGAGUUCGGCAGGGGAGACUGGAAUUCCUGGUGUAGCGGUGAGAUGCGCAGAUAUCAGGAGGAACACCGGUGGCGAAGGCGGGUCUCUGGGCCGAUACUGACGCUGAGGAGCGAAAGCGUGGGGAGCGAACAGG